rnacentral:rRNA from 1 species
UACGAAGGAGGCGAGCGUUGUCCGGAUUUACUGGGCGUAAAGCGCGCGCAGGCGGCACUUCAAGUAAGGUGUGAAAUCUCCCUGCUCAACGGGGAGGGUGCACUUUAGACUGGGGAGCUAGAGGACGGUAGAGGGGGGUGGAAUUGCUGGUGUAGCGGUGAAAUGCGUAGAGAUCAGCAGGAACACCUGUGGCGAAGGCGGCCCCCUGGGCCGUACCUGACGCUGAGGCGCGAAGGCUAGGGGAGCGAACGGG